AGGACUAACGCUGGCGGCGUGCCUAACACAUGCAAGUCGAACGAGGUAGCAAUACCUAGUGGCAGACGGGUGAGUAACACGUAGUCAACCUUCCCGAUAGUGGGGGAUAACUAGCCGAAAGGUUAGCUAAUACCGCAUACGAUCUUCGAGUGGCAUCAUUUGAAGAUGAAAGGAGCAAUCCGCUUUCGGACGGGACUGCGUCCCAUUAGCUAGAUGGUGGGGUAAUGGCCUACCAUGGCAACGAUGGGUAGCUGGUUUGAGAGAGCGACCAGCCACACUGGGACUGAGAAACGGCCCAGACUCCUACGGGAGGCAGCAGUGAGGAAUUUUUCCGCAAUGGGCGAAAGCCUGACGGAGCGACGCCGCGUGUGGGAAGAAGGCCUUCGGGUCGUAAACCACUGUCGAAGGGGAAAUACUGAUGGUACCCUUGGAGGAAGCCCGGCUAACUACGUGCCAGCAGCCGC
rnacentral:rRNA from 1 species